GCAUGAGUAGGAACACAUUUUUUAGAGUCCCAAUGUGAUUGCAGGCCAGCGAUGGACUACAGCCGUACAGAUGCUAACCUGGGUUUGACCGCAGAACUGUUACCGUAAUCGAGACCAGAUCCGCAGAAUGCUGAGUCCCAUUGUUCCCUAUAUCAAGAUCUGAUGACCCUUCAUCCAGGACCAGAUUUUCAGAAGAUAUAAUUUGUUUUGUGUUUUGUUUUUUUUUGUAAUGAUUUUUUCAGUAUAUUGAAAUAUUUACAUUUUAAUUUUUAUUUACCUUAAUGCUAUUUAUUUA
ensembl:lncRNA